UUUCCGUAGGUGAACCAGCGGAAGGAUCAUUAUCACGUAUCCACGUUAUAAACCAAAUUGUGAACUGUUUUCAAAACCUCUAAGGAUCUAGCUGAAUAGACCUACUCAUUGUGUGAUUUUGAGUAACUAUUUGACUUCCUAUUUCUUCCGGGAAAAAGGAGAACAUGGCUUUAUCAUUUGGAGUGUAAUUAACCACACUUUUAAAAACUAUUAACCACUUGAACCUAAAUAAUACAUUUUCUUUGUUUGAACUGAUUUGUUUCUUACUCGGCAAUUUAUUUGUUGAGAAGAAAUUAUAUUACGAAACAAUAAAAGAACAACUCUUAGCAACGGAUAUCUUGGUUCCC
rnacentral:misc_RNA from 1 species